UGAAUAUUAAUUGCUAAGUUUAGUUGACAAAAAAGCGUUGACGAAAGAAAAAUGCUAAGUUUCUGUGAAUGAAAAUGAAAAAAUAAAAAUAUCUAAAUUUAUUUGCAAAGAUAGAUUUUAGAGAGAAAAAUCUACACCACAAUUUUCAAAAUAUGAUUAAACAACAACUUAUAACAUCUAAUAUUAUGAAUUAUAACGUAUGGACCUGAUCCUGAAAUGAUAUGGACGUAACUUGAAUCUGUUUCUAGCUUUAGCUAGUUUGUCUGCUACUCGAUUAUUACACCCAUCAAGUUUGACAUAUUUCUGUCUUUUCUUCAACAUAAAUCACAAGCUGUUGCUAGCCACCUUCAAUGAUGAUCAAACGGAUUCCCUGACAUCAAAGACAUUGGUAAUGCGUGAAGGAAACUGAAAUCUUUAGCUUCAAUAGGAUUUACGCUCUUUGAUAUGUCCAAUAGAUGAACUUCUUGCAAACAUGAAGACAUCUAAGUCGUCUCGAGCUAUCCAACCCAAACCCAUUGGAGCAUUAUUUGCUUCUUUAAAACUGCAAUCGUGGUUGCAUUUUCUCCAUCCGUUAGAUGGGUGGUGCCAAGUUCAAGUUGUAUUUGCCUGAUUCGUUGUAAGGGAAUGUUAUAGAUCGUUUUGGUACUUAUCUCCUGGGAUAUUCACAUUCGUCCACUCUUUUACACCGUCUCGUACCUUUCUCACAUCCGCUAGGAGAUUUUUAUAUAUCCUGAAAAAU